UACGUAGGAGGCAAGCGUUAUCCGGAAUGACUGGGCGUAAAGGGUGCGUAGGUGGUUUGGCAAGUUAGUAGCGUAAUUCCGGGGCUCAACUUCGGAACUACUACUAAAACUGCUGGGCUUGAGUGCAGGAGGGGCAUAUGGAAUUCCUAGUGUAGCGGUGGAAUGCGUAGAUAUUAGGAAGAACACCAGUGGCGAAGGCGAUAUGCUGGACUGUAACUGACACUGAGGCACGAAAGCGUGGGUAUCGA
rnacentral:rRNA from 1 species